rnacentral:rRNA from 1 species
GACGAACGCUGGCGGCGUGCUUAACACAUGCAAGUCGAACGGAAAGGCCCUGCUUUUGUGGGGUGCUCGAGUGGCGAACGGGUGAGUAACACGUGAGUAACCUGCCCUUGACUUUGGGAUAACUUCAGGAAACUGGGGCUAAUACCGGAUAGGAGCUCCUGCUGCAUGGUGGGGGUUGGAAAGUUUCGGCGGUUGGGGAUGGACUCGCGGCUUAUCAGCUUGUUGGUGGGGUAGUGGCUUACCAAGGCUUUGACGGGUAGCCGGCCUGAGAGGGUGACCGGCCACAAUGGGACUGAGGUACGGACCAGACUCCAACGGGAGGCAGCAGUGGGGAAUAUUGCACAAUGGGCGGAAGCCUGAUGCAGCAACGCCGCGUGCGGGAUGACGGCCUUCGGGUUGUAAACCGCUUUCGCCUGUGACGAAGCGUGAGUGACGGUAAUGGGUAAAGAAGCACCGGCUAACUACGUG